rnacentral:rRNA from 1 species
UACAUGGGGUGCAAACGUUGCUCGGAAUUAUUGGGCGUAAAGCGCACGUAGGCGGUUUGUUAAGUCGGAUGUGAAAUCCCUCGGCUCAACUGAGGAAGUGCAUCCGAAACUGGCAGGCUUGAGUACUAAAGAGGGUCGCGGAAUUCCCGGUGUAGAGGUGAAAUUCGUAGAUAUUCGGAGGAACACCAGUGGCGAAGGCGGCUCACUGGUCCGGUACUGACGCUGAGGUGCGAAAGCGUGGGGAGCAAACAGG